AGCAAACAUGUCCGCCUCCUCCUCGCCCUCCAGCCGAGAUGCAGACAUCAUCCUGAGCUCAGUGUGGAGGAGAAAGCCGAGCGUCAGCAUCUUCUGCUGCUCAUCAGUUCCUGGAAUCAUGCAUGCUUUGUAUGUGUUGGCGCUGCUCUGUUCCCUGUUGCUGGGUUUUCUUCCUCCUACAGAGCAGACCGAGGCGGCUGGCGGGAGGGAGGACAGGCACAAACGAAGCCUACCCUACUGGGGCCUGUGGUCCUCAGACUUUUUUGGCUGGUUGGAGGAGCUGCGAGCCCAGGCAGCCGAUAACGGGAUGCAGGACCUCGCUCACACCUUCUGGGCCCACUUCCCCAUCGGCAGGGAGCUGGGUUACGACAGCCCCGAGUCUGACCUUCAACCCGAGGAGUGAGGGAAAGGAGACAUCGGGUGCAAAAGUGAGAUUUAAAAGUGUUCAUGCAGAUAUAACUGGUGGCUCUUGGGAAGCAUCCAAUCCCCGGCUGGACACCACCGGACCAAACCGCCAGAAACAAAUCCGUCAUGGCCACGUACAAAGGAAAAAUCUGUCCUAACAGGUGUAGAAGAAUAGGUACUUUAACUCUGGUGCUUUUCGUUUAUUCUGCCAUUUGUGAUGCCAUUUUGUUCUUGCAAUAAAGCCUGGAUUCUGGUAUUUUUAUUAAAGUGAAACAUCUUCUGCUCUUGUGGGUCUCAA